UACGAAGGGUGCAAGCGUUACUCGGAAUUACUGGGCGUAAAGCGUGCGUAGGUGGUUUGUUAAGUCUGAUGUGAAAGCCCUGGGCUCAACCUGGGAAUUGCAUUGGAUACUGGCAGGCUAGAGUGCGGUAGAGGGUAGUGGAAUUCCCGGUGUAGCAGUGAAAUGCGUAGAGAUCGGGAGGAAUAUCUGUGGCGAAGGCGACUACCUGGACCAGCACUGACACUGAGGCACGAAAGCGUGGGGAGCAAACAGG
rnacentral:rRNA from 1 species